GUGAGUAGAUAACGAAUGGGGGGACAACACAACACAACCUUGACCUUGAGUUUGACCCCGCCCAUUUUCCCUCUCUUUCUUUCAAGGCCACUCGUUCUCUCUCUUACUUUUCAAGGCCAACCCCUCCCACUUCCCCCACCACUUCAAGGCCAAGGCAUUAUUGGACCUUGAUGUUUUCAAGGUCAAGGUUAUUCAUGCUACUCCCCACUUUUUCAAGGCCAACAACUCCUCACUCAUUCAAGAUGAAUCGCGCAAUUGUCCUUACUCAUUUUCCACCCCAAACUGUAUAAAAGAUAAUGUGUUGUGUUGUGUAACACAGUUCUUGUGUAUAUCUACUAUAACAAGAAAUUCUUUAAAAAUGGAACCCAUCAGAAAAAGUUCUAUUUAUAAUACUCCUGAGGAUAUCAUAGUUUGUCCAUACGACAAAAACCACAUUCUUCUUUGGUUUCGGCUCGAAAGGCACAUAUGGAAGUGCCAUCGGGCCGAUAAAGAAAAACAAAGGGCCUUACAUGAAGUGAUGAUGAAGGAAGAAGAGGAGAACUGGGAUCAUUUCAAUGAGCCCAGCUACCUCGACUUCUUAAAAUCUAAAAGGAAUCAUAAUGCCUUAAAUUAAAGAAGGUCGGGGUUCUUUCGUAAAAAUAGUGUAGAAUAAGUUUAGCAAAGUAGUAGUAGUCGUAGUAAACUGUAAAUAUUAUAUUAUUGUAUAAAAAAAAUAAAAGUUGUAAAAAAAAGCUACAUGUUUUUAUGUACACCUAUUUCAACCUACUGAUACAAGUAAGUGUGACCUGCAAGCAGAGAGUCGCUCACUGUUUCAAGACCACUCAUUCCCUCUUUAUCUUUGAUGUUUUCAUCUCACUUUUUCUCAUUAUCUCACUUUUUCAAGGCCACAAUAUUGAUGCAUUUUCAUUCAAGGUUAAAAAGUGGGGGUAUAGUUAAUAUAUAGAAUUUAGUACAAGUUUGAUAGCAGUCAGUACUGAUUUAAUCCUCCGAGAAAUAAUAAUAUAAAAAAAGUGCAUAUAUCUGUGUUAAUGUCUAAGAGUAUUCGCUGCUGGGUCAUGGAUGUAUUGAAUCGAAUCGCUCGAUGCGGACAGAAACCCAUUUUAAAAGCUGGUGAGCUAGAGUUGAACACAAGAUUCCGCAUACAUAAUAUUAGACGCACAAAGUCUCUGUUCGGAAAUUCAGUGCUUGUUGAGUUGGACAAUUAUGCAGUGUUUCUGCCGAGAAGAAUAAGUGAUUAUUUAACUGAGGAGAAAAUUGAUGAGUUAUUACGAGAUCCACGUCCACUAUAUUUAAUAUAUUUGGGAAAAGAAGAUGCUAGAAACCCGACAUCUGCACAUUGUUUUGAGUUUCAACGUGUUGAUGAUGAAAUAUUAGGUGAGUGAACAUAAUGUAAAAUGGAGGAUGAAAAGAAAUUAAAGAAAUGUAUAUUUCAUUUACAGUUAACGAGAGUGCCGAAGAGUAGGAUGAAAUUAUCGGAAAAAGACUUAUGUGUGUGAAGUAGUGUGCGUUUUGUGCUAGUGAUAGUUUCUUAAAAUAAAUGAAUAAAAAUCAUGUGUCUAGACGAUGGACAAUAUGAAAAAUGUUUAUACGAGUGUUUUGAUAAAAGACUGUUAUCAUAUAAGAACUGGGUACAUUCAUACCCAUCUCCAUGGAGUUUAGCAAAAGCGGGAUUGUUUUAUAUUCAAAUAUCUGAUUGUACCCAGUGUUUUGUUUGUGGAGUAAUAAUUUCACGAUGGGAAAAAAGUGAUGAUGCGUUUAUGGAGCAUAAAAAACAUUCUCCAAAAUGUGGAUAUGUGAAAUUGCUUUCCACAGACAAAACUACAAUUCAAAAAUUCAAAUUAGUUACUAAAAAUAGCAUUGUUGUAGUUUUAUUUUUUAUAGUAUUUGUAUUCAUGUAUUAUUUAUGGGCGUCUUCUUAUGCAUAGGUAAUGUGAUGCAGACUUGUUAACCUUGAUCAGUGUCGGGCGCGCGCCAAAGGUGAGGUAAACUAAAGGUUUCAAGAGACGUCUUGAUUUAAUUAGUUUAUAAUUAAAUAAGUGGUAGAAUAAUAUGGAGGAUUUAUAAUAGAUUUAAGGAUAUUUAAUGUACUACCUAUAAUAUUGAUGAAAUAAAGUGUUUUAAUUGA